ensembl:snoRNA SNORA62 Small nucleolar RNA SNORA62/SNORA6 family
GGUGCAUAUUGUUAGAGCUUGGAGUUGAGGCCACUGGCUGGUGGAUGAACUCACAAAUGUAGGUGAUGUGCUACAUGAGGGACAACAGUCUCUGGCUCAGUGAAUGGAGUUUGAUUGUAACCCUUGUGACAAGU